AACAAUAAUAAUAAUAACAACAGUAGUGGUGGUAAUAAUAACAACAGUAGUGGUGGUAAUAAUAACAACUACGAAGGAAGUAACGGUAUUUACAUUGAUGGUAAUGAAGAAUAUGAAAAUUUGUUUAAGUAUAAUCCCUAUGACGAAGAAAAAAAAAAUAUAAAAAUAAAAAAUUUAUGCAUUGUUAAUAAAACACAAAAUGUAAUAAUAACAUUAAAAAAUACUUUAUCAAUCGAUUUAGUUAUGAAUAACGUGACAUUGUUAACAUGGGGUGUGGACGUAGAUAAAUAUCCAUGUAGCUUAAUCUUGUUAUCAAAAAAAAAAAAGAAAUAUACAAAAGCUAUAUUAUCAUUUAAAGCAAAACAAACAGGUCUUCUUUUUAUAAUUGGUAUUACAUAUUGUAUUAGUUAUUUAUGUUUUAAUCAAUGUUUAUUAUAUGACACGUCAGUAGUAAAACGAUGGUUUAUGCAAAGUAACAAAGAGUAUGUAAAUAAUUUUCAAAACAGGUAUAACAACAUGGAUGAUAUGAAUGCAAAUACAAAAUCAAUUAAACAAGCAAGAAAUACAAAUGUAAACAAACUGGUAAAAAGAAAAAUGAAGUCAUUAAAUCACGUUUUUAAAAAGUCCAACAUAUGCGCCAUUUUUGUUAUUAAUAACCAUUUUUCCCUAAACAUGGUCAUAAAACUUGUUAAUUUUAGUAACUAUGUUAAUAUAAAUUCGUUAAUUAAUGAUAAUAGUUAUUUUAAUAGAUUUUUUCCAGGAGAUACAUAUGGACAUAACAAUUGGGAGAACUGCAUAAGUACGGAUAAUAAAUUUGUUUCCAAAUUUACAGAUGACAUAAGUAACAAUUCAGCAUCUUUUGUUAAUUCGAAAACCACCGGAGGAAAGCACUUUUUAGAUAAACAACAGUUUUGUUCGCUUCAGGGCAUGCUUGAGUUGGCAGACUCGCGGGGUUAUAGUAGCAGUGGUAGUAGAAGAAGUGGUGGUAGAAGAAGUGGUGGUAGAAGAAGUGGUGGUAGAAGAAGUGGUGGUAGUAGCAGUUGCAGCAGCAGUUGCAGCAGCAGUUGCAGCAGUAGUUGCAGCAGCAGAAGCGGUGGCAACAUACUCACCUACGAAGAACAAAAUGAUAAUGACAAAACAUACCAACACGCGAUGUCUACAAUAAACAAUAAUAUAUAUUUUGAAAGUGACGCCAGAUACUGUGAAUUGUUGGAAGGAGAGAUACGCUUCCUAUGUUUAUGCAUCGAAAAUAAAACAAACAUAGAUGUAAAAUAUGUUAAUAUAAGUGUAAAUUAUAAAAAUAAUGACAAGAACAUAGGCAACUAUUUUAUUCGGUUAUAUUUUGAACAUGCUUUUUAUACAUUUAACAACACCAGCGAAAACAAUGUAGUGUAUAUAAAAAAUAAAGAAAAUAUAAUUAUUCCUAAAAAUAGCACAUUAUAUAUACCAAUCAAGUGUUUGGGUUCAAUUUUAAUAAACGAAUGUUUUAUUUCUGUGUGCUAUUCUAUUUGUAAAAGUUGUUUAUAUUACUGUGUUCAAGAUCUAGCUUUAAAAUUAAACGUACGAAAAAAUAUAACAAUUGAUAGGAUCUUGUUUUUUCCUUCCGUUGGUUAUACAUCUGAGGAUGUGCUAACUCGGUUGUUAAAUAGUGGUUAUUAUUCAGAGAACAUUUUAAAUAAAAUUGGUAAAGUAUGUAAAAACACGGAUGUGGAUUGUGUGGGCGGCGUAUCAGGUAUGACAGGCGUGUCAGCCAUACCAGACGCAUCAGAUGUGCCACGCCACCCCGUUAACACUGGUACCAUGUCCAAUAUGCUAAUUCCCAACACGACAAACCAAACGCUCGAAAACAUACUUGACAUAUCCAUGAUAAGAAAAAAAAAAAAAAAAGCAAUAUACACUAACAUCGACCUUGACAGUUGCUUAAAACAUGAAGACGUUAUAACAAACGAAAUGAGUUUCAAUUUUAUGAAUGCGACAGACACAUAUGAUUCUGAUGGUUGUGAUGUGGCACAAAGGGUAGAUUACACAAAAGGAAACGGAGAAGCGUCGUUUGUAGAUAAAAAUACGUUUGUAGUUAAAAGAAUGGUUAGAGGAGUAAUCGAAAAUGUUAAAAAUGCGACAAAUUUUAACAAAAGCAACGGUGGUAGACAAAACCAAUCAGUACAUUUCUUUACAACAUCCGGAAGUAAUUUCCUGUACAAAGAAGCUCCGUAUAACGCGAACAAACAUGAUAUUGUACAAAAUAUGAAUUAUAUUAGUAAUAUAUACAGAAAGAAAAAUGAUUUAAACAUAUGUUAUGACAAUGAAUGCAUAUUUUUAGAAUUGUAUAUGAAAAAUGAUAGUGGAUAUGUAAACUAUUGUAUGUGUAACAAAUUAAAAAAAAAAUUACCUUAUUGUAUAGUGGAAAAAACGAAUGAAUUAAAAAAAUGGCUACUAUGGGUUAAACGAAUAAAAAGAAGCAAAAAAAAUAAUAUUUAUUUGGAAAAUGAAAAAGAUGCCAUAAUUUAUUUUGUACUUUAUAUAGAUUUGUAUUUUCGUUUAACUUACUCAAUACAUAAAAAAACAGGUUUGUUAAGUGCUUAUAGUUCUUAUCUAAAUAACAC
rnacentral:lncRNA from 1 species